rnacentral:lncRNA from 1 species
AGUGCUAAGAGCUUAGUACAGUGCUCUGCACACAAUAAGCACUCAAUAAAUACCACUGAUUGAUAGAAGGGAGACAGACAUUAAAAUAAAUUACAGGGAGGGAAAAUGGCUGAGUGUAAGGAUGUGAACUGUGCUGUGCUGUGGGGCUAAGGGUGGGAUGACUACAACAUUUUCAAUAAUACAGGUUGGAGUGCAAAGGUGAUACGAAAGAGAGGGCAGAUAAGGGAAAUGAGAGCUCAGUGGGGCCCUUUCUGCAGGUUGUCUUAAUCACCCACCCCUCCUCCCUCCUCCCCUCCAUCCCUCCCCAACCCAUCUUGUGGCUCGGUGGAAAGAGUCCGGGCUUGGGAGUCAGAGGUCAUGGAUUUGAAUCCCGACUCUGCCGCUUGCCAGCUGUGUGACUCUGGGCAAGUCACUUAACUUCUCUGUGCCUCAGUUUCCUCAUCUGCAAAAUGGGCUUGAAGACUGUGAGUCCCACGUGGGACAACCCGAUUGCCUCAUAUCCCCCCCCCAGCGCCUAGAACAGUGCUUUGCACAUAGUAAGAGCUUAACAAAUCACACUAUUAUCUUUUCUUCCUCCCUCCCUUUUCCCUCCUUCCUUCCCUCCCUCUCCUCCUGCCUCCUUUCCCUCCCUUUUCUUCCUUUCCCCUUCCCUCUCCCUCCCUAACCCCCUUCUCUCUCCUUCGCUCCCUCCUUCCCUCACCUCUCCCAUUCCACUGCUCCUCUUUCUGUACCUCCCUCCUUCCCUCCCUCCUGUUCCCCAUCCUCCAGUCUGUCUAGGCACCUCUACUCACUCAUCCUUUCUUCCUGCUUCUAGGCAUGAUCAAUGCAAACAUGAGGAUGUGCCCCCCCAGGAAAGAUGCCCAGCUCCCCUCUCUGCAGCACCCUCCCGUCCCCUGUUCCAGGAGAACACUGGAACCAGCUCACUCGGAUCACCCAAGGAGAGUAAGAAUCUGAUGGACUUCAGGGGAAUGAAGCAAUGUGGCCUAGUGGAAUGAGCCCACUAGGAAUGGGAGUUAGGGGACAUGGGUUCUAACUCCAGCUACAUGACUUGCCAGCUGUAUGUCUUUGGGUCAGUCUGUUCUUCAGUUUCCUCAUCUGUAAAGUGGGGAUUCAGGAUCUGCUCCUUUCCUGCUCAGAUUGUGAGCUCCAUGCGGGACAGGGAUUGUGUCCAACCUGAUUAACUUGUAACUGCACGAGUGCUUAGUAAAGUAAACACUUAACAAAUAUCUGAGUGGGAGGAGGCUGGACAGGAGGGUGGAAGCUUCCUCUACUCUCUCAUUGAUCUAUACCUCUGGGGCAUGGACACCAACCUCUGGAUCAGCACAG